UGGGGAAUAUUGGACAAUGGGCGAAAGCCUGAUCCAGCCAUGCCGCGUGAGUGAUGAAGGCCCUAGGGUUGUAAAGCUCUUUCGCCAGGGACGAUAAUGACGGUACCUGGAUAAGAAGCCCCGGCUAACUUCGUGCCAGCAGCCGCGGUAAUACGAAGGGGGCUAGCGUUGUUCGGAAUCACUGGGCGUAAAGCGCGUGUAGGCGGACUGCUAAGUCGGGGGUGAAAUCCCGAGGCUCAACCUCGGAAUUGCCUUCGAUACUGGCAGUCUUUGAGUCCGGGAGAGGUGAGUGGAACUCCUAGUGUAGAGGUGAAAUUCGUAGAUAUUAGGAAGAACACCAGUGGCGAAGGCGGCUCACUGGCCCGGUACUGACGCUGUGACGCGAAAGCGUGGGGAGCAAACAGGAUUAGAUACCCUGGUAGUCCACGCCGUAAACGAUGGAAGCUAGCCGUCGGACAGCUUGCUGUUCGGUGCGCAGCUAACGCUUAAG
rnacentral:rRNA from 1 species